GAUGAACGUUGGCGGCGUGCCUAAUACAUGCAAGUCGAACGAAGACUGUAGUAAUACUGUCUUAGUGGCGAACGGGUGAGUAACGCGUGGGUGACCUGCCCCGAAGUGUGGGAUAACAGUCCGAAAGGAUUGCUAAUACUGCAUAAUAUCCAAGAGAUUAGAUGCUUUUGGAUUAAAGGAGUAAUUCGCCUCGGGAGGGGCCCGCGUCCCAUCAGCUAGUUGGUAAGGUAAUGGCUUACCAAGGCGAUGACGGGUAGGGGACCUGAGAGGGUGGCCCCCCACAAUGGAACUGAAACACGGUCCAUACACCUACGGGUGGCAGCAGUAGGGAAUAUUAGUAAUGGGCGAAAGCCUGAACUAGCAACGCCGCGUGUGCGAAGAAGGCCUUCGGGUCGUAAAGCACUUUUUGAGAGGAUGAGGAAGGACGGUACUCUCAGAAUAAGUCUCGGCUAACUACGUG
rnacentral:rRNA from 1 species